GAGGUCUUCCGUAACUGACGGAAUUCACCCCCACACCAAAAAUUUUGGUGUGGGGGUAAAGGUGGAAUACCACCGGGAAGCGGAGGGUGUUGAAAUUAAGCCGACCGUCUGGGCGUUUAAG
rnacentral:ncRNA from 2 species